UACGUAGGGUGCAAGCGUUAAUCGGAAUUACUGGGCGUAAAGCGUGCGCUAGGCGGUUAUGUAAGACAGGUGUGAAAUCCCCGGGCUUAACCUGGGAACUGCAUUUGUGACGUGCAUAGCUAGAGUACGGUAGAGGGGGAUGGAAAUUCCGCGUGUAGCAGUGAAAUGCGUAGAUAUGCGGAGGAACACCGAUGGCGAAAGGCAAUCCCCGUGGACCUGUACUGACGCUCAUGCACGAAAGCGUGGGGAGCAACAGG
rnacentral:rRNA from 1 species